UACGAAGGGGGCUAGCGUUGUUCGGAAUUACUGGGCGUAAAGCGUGCGCAGGCGGCUUUCCAAGUCAGUGGUGAAAGCCCGGAGCUCAACUCCGGAAAUGCCAUUGAAACUGCGAAGCUUGAGAACGAGAGAGGUGAGUGGAAUUCCCAGUGUAGAGGUGAAAUUCGUAGAUAUUGGGAAGAACACCAGUGGCGAAGGCGGCUCACUGGCGCGUAACUGACGCUCAUGCACGAAAGCGUGGGGAUCAAACAGG
rnacentral:rRNA from 1 species